AUGCAUCCCGUGAUGCCUACACCAACUAGAGAGGAAGCUAAUGAUGAUGAUCAUGAAACUUUAGAUCAUGUUACUACCGGACUUCGUAGGUCAACUAGAACAUGUUCCGCACCAGAGUGGUACGGUAAUCCUGUCCUGGAAGUCAUGUUAUUAGACCAUGGCGAACCUACGAACUAUGAAGAAGCUGUGAUGAGCCCAGAUUCCGACAGAUGGCUUGAGGCCAUGAAAUCUGAUAUAGGAUCCAUGUAUACGAACAAAGUGUGGAAUUUGGUGGACUUGCCUGAUGAUCGGCAAGCCAUAGAGAAUAAAUGGAUCUUCAAGAAGAAGACUGACGCUGAUGGUAAUGUUACUGUC
rnacentral:rRNA from 1 species